rnacentral:rRNA from 1 species
UGCCAGCAGCCGCGGUAAUACGUAGGGGGCAAGCGUUGUCCGGAUUUAUUGGGCGUAAAGAGCUCGUAGGCGGUUCGGCAAGUCGGGUGUGAAAAAUCUGGGCUCAACCCAGUGGAGCACCCGAUACUGCUGUGACUUGAGUCCGGUAGAGGAGUGUGGAAUUCCUGGUGUAGCGGUGAAAUGCGCAGAUAUCAGGAGGAACACCGACAGCGAAGGCAGCACUCUGGGCCGGUACUGACGCUGAGGAGCGAAAGCGUGGGGAGCAAACAGGAUUAGAUA